GGGUUAAAGGGGUUCCCAACCGUGAAUAUUAAAUAAUAUAUACCGAUUUGAUUGGCCAAUUACUGUUUUAACACACGACGCCAUCAAUUUACGUGAAUAUUUUGGAAAUAUACAGACGAUAUUCCGCAAUCCACGGCUCCUAGGAAAGUUUCUUGUAGUGUAACGAAAAGCGGGAAAUACGCGUUUAUGUAGUUAAAAAUUUGUAAUUUUAAAUUAUUAACUUUUUUUUACAUUUAGGCUUCUUC
rnacentral:lncRNA from 1 species